UACGAAGGGAGCUAGCGUUGUUCGGAAUCACUGGGCGUAAAGCGCACGUAGGCGGAUUUGUCAGUCAGGGGUGAAAUCCCGGGGCUCAACCUCGGAACUGCCUUUGAUACAGCAAGUCUUGAGUUCGAGAGAGGUGGGUGGAAUUCCUAGUGUAGAGGUGAAAUUCGUAGAUAUUAGGAAGAACACCGGUGGCGAAGGCGGCCCACUGGCUCGAUACUGACGCUGAGGUGCGAAAGCGUAGGGAGCAAACAGG
rnacentral:rRNA from 1 species